ACGCUUCUUUCCUGCCGAGUGCUUGCACUCACUUGGAAAGAGGAGUGGCGGACGGGUGAGUAACACGUGGGUAACCUGCCCAUCAGAGGGGGAUAACACUUGGAAACAGGUGCUAAUACCGCAUAAUAGUCGACACCGCAUGGUGUUGAUUUGAAAGACGCUUUCGGGUGUCACUGAUGGAUGGACCCGCGGUGCAUUAGCUAGUUGGUGAGGUAACGGCUCACCAAGGCCAUGAUGCAUAGCCGACCUGAGAGGGUGAUCGGCCACACUGGGACUGAGACACGGCCCAGACUCCUACGGGAGGCAGCAGUAGGGAAUCUUCGGCAAUGGACGAAAGUCUGACCGAGCAACGCCGCGUGAGUGAAGAAGGUUUUCGGAUCGUAAAACUCUGUUGUUAGAGAAGAACAAGUAGGAGAGUAACUGCUCUUACCUUGACGGUAUCUAACCAGAAAGCCACGGCUAACUACGUGCCAGCAGCCGCGGU
rnacentral:rRNA from 1 species